ACAGCGACGCCCAAGCCGGAAGAUUUCACGUCAACAGAAACGACGGGACAGAAAGGCUUGUUGUGAAAAUCAGCUGAAUGAACGUCAGAGGGAACCAGUCGGACCAGAAUGGAUUCCAAUCAUUAAUUUUCCGUCUGAAACCAAAGCACAACGGUCACAAACAGACGGGUGGUGAGGACAAGCAGCUGCGUUUCAAACCUACGGCUUAAAAUAACAGAAUGAUUGAGCAUUAUUUACUAAAAACACAUCAUCAUCCUCACAACUGUGUGAAGCAACAACACAGAGGUAGCAAAAGUCAACUCUGCACAUCCCUGCAGCCGUGCUGUUUGUAACCCAGGGUAAAAACUGCCUUAGUCCCACCUUUGCUACUUCAUUGGUUAGAGUGACAGUCAGUCACACAGUGCAAUCAGCCAAUCACUGCACCUGAAGUAGGUUUUUCAGGCCUGCUCCAGCUUUCCCAAUCAGCUGUGAGAGGGAGAGCUGGAGACGAAGGAGCUGCAGGUUUGUGCUGUCAAACAAUUGGUUCUUUCUUUGUUUGUAUGCACUUUGUUUAAAAAACUCACAAUAUAAACCAUGUAGAUCUGAAUAUCCAGUGAGCUUGGAGCCAUGAAGCUGCCAUGCACUGAUCUUUAAAAGGAAUUGGCCAGGUGAUUUCCCCUUUUUGGGGUUAAAGGAUGGCGAGCUUCUAAGAUCUGGCUGGAGCCAGGAGAACCGAAUUUCACUCCAUACUGGUCUGGUAGGAGUUUGAUGGUCCAUGAACUUUCCCCUCCUUCUCAUUACACAGACACACUACCCAUUAUUCACCCUUUCCAUCAGAGCUGAAUUGCGCUUGGACAUUUUCCCUAAAGUUUCUGGAUAAACAAACUAUGGACUUUUAAAUGUGUGUCGGUCAGACACUGUGUUGACCAAGCGGGGAAAAGUGAAGGACUCUGUGCACAUUAGAACAUCAACUGCAGUAUUGUGUAUAUAUUUAUUGUAUUUUGGUUUCCAUGUAUGUUUUGUGUUUUAUAUUGGUUAUUUAAUUUUCUUCUUUAAAAAAUACAUAGUAUUGAAAACAGUUACUCUCUUGUAUUGUUUUAUUGAUUUCUGACGACAGCUCCAGCAGACGAAUUUAGUUUUUCUGAUGUCAGAAGCUAUUUAGUCCUUCAGUGCAUUAAGUACUGUUACAUUAUAAACAUCAAAUAGUGCUACAUGUUCUGAAAACAACAUGGGUUGCACUUAAUGGAGGAAAACUAGUAAAAUCACAUCU